GUGGUUGGGCUGAAGCAGUUCCAACUUGUCUUGCGGCGCAUGUGAGUUGGGGAACCCGCGCUGGUGCAUGAAGACUAGAGUUUAUCCGGUAAAAUUAUACAACAAUACCAGGUUGUUUUCCAAUAUGAUGCUCUUCCUUGUAUUAACGUGUUGGAUUGGCAUUGCUGCUGGUGUUGAUGAAGAGGAUGAUGAGAUUGAGUCGCUAACCGUGACUGAAGGUGGAAACCUCACCAUCUCUGUUCACAUAGAGAAAUCGGACGAAGACCCUCAGGUUUUGGUGACUCGUCUCAAAGGCUCCUCGCAGGAACCGAUAGCGCAGGUAUUCUGUCAUAACGGAGCCUGUGCUCAGAAGUGCUGGAGACCCGGAGUUUCUCUCGUAUCUGAUGGAGAGAAUACAACUCUGAUCCUGAUGAACGUCAGCUACAAUCAAACGGGGCUUUACAAGGUCUGCAAACUGAGCAGUAGACAACCGCAAAACAAGAUCUACAAGCUUACAGUGUAUCAGCCUCCACUCAGGACCAUCAGCACUGAACAACCAGCAUCUGCCGUGCACAGUAAAUCAUUUACUGCAGGCAUAAGCACAGCUGCAGUGGUCCUCGUUUUACUGGUCAUCAUUUGUGCUGUUACUGGUGUCAUUUAUAGGAAACAUGAAAAGGCAAGUAUCAUUGCAGAGCAAUUUAUCUUAACCUGCCUCGUCCUAAU
rnacentral:lncRNA from 1 species